AGCCCGGCAAAGCCGGGAAUGUUUGGAGACCGCGUUACGUCACUCUAGUCUGAUAGGCCAGCGCUCCUGCCAGUCAGAAGAGAAGGCUGCGCGGCUGCACUGUCUCGGGAGCGGAUUAGGCUGCCUUCUGGUUCAGGCCGGAGGGAAGGGGAGCGUGUCGCCGUCCCUAGCAGCCCCCGCUUGGUCCCUGACGGCGUAGCGAAGCCAGCAUUUGCAAUGACUGCCUUGUGGAAGGACAUCUUACAUAAUGAGCAGCUUAUUCAGGAUGUAGCAGCAAUCGCUGUGGAUGCAGCACUUCUUGAAGGAGUUCUGAUGAGGACCGAAGAGGAUUCCAAUGUGUCUGAUGUGGUGAACUUUGCUCCCUUCACAUUGCUCCCAUCUCCAGUACCAAGCGCUCUCUUUGAGCAAGCCUAUGCUGUUCAACAAGAUUUUAAUCUGCUUGUGGAUGCUAUUAGCCAGAAUGCAGAAUUCCUGGAACACACUCUUGCUAGCACCAUCCAAGUAGAUGCCUUCACAGCGCAACUUUUUAAAAUCCACAAGCAAGUUUUGAAAGAAGGAUUAGCCCAGUCAUUGAUUUUAGGAAUAAAUCGUUCAGAUUAUAUGUUUGACCAUGGUGAAGAAGGCUCUCCAGCACUGAAGCAAGUUGAAAUAAAUACCAUUGCUGCAAGCUUCGCAGGCCUUACCUCAAGAACUACUGCAGUGCAUCGGCAUGUGUUGAAUAUUUUGGGAAAAACAAAGGAAGCUUCAACAUUAAUGUAUAACAAUCCAGCCAAAGGACUUGCAAUGGGCAUUGCCAAAGCUUGGGAGCUCUAUGGCUCAGACAGGGCUGUGGUGAUGUUCCUGGUUGAAGAUAUCCAAAGGAAUAUUUUUGAUCAACGCUGUGUAGAGAAUGAGCUGUGGAACAGGAAUGUCCAGGUGAUCCGGAGACGGUUUAAAGAUGUUUUUGAAAGGGCAUCUUUGAACGAAGACAGGAGAUUAUUCAUAGAUGGCCAGGAGGUUGCUGUGGUGUACUACAGAGAAGGUUAUGUGCCAAAGAACUACAAUAAACAGAACUGGGAAGCACGGUUGUUGAUGGAAAGCUCCAAAGCAGUCAAGUGUCCUGACAUUGCUACCCAACUUGCAGGGACCAAAAAAGUUCAGCAGGAGCUAAGCCAGCCUGGAACCUUAGAAAGACUGCUGCCCAACAAUACAGAGUCUGUUGCUCGCCUGAGAGCAACCUUUACUGGCCUCUAUGCUUUAGAUAUGGACAAAGAAGGGGAUAAGAUGAUUGCCAUGGCCAUUGCUGAUCCAGACCGAUUUGUUCUGAAGCCUCAGCGAGAGGGUGGAGGUAUGGCAGGCGAGUCCUCAUGGGACAGAAUUUGUUAGUCACCCCUAUACCGGCCACAAGUGGUGCCUUGGCUAGGAAGACAAUGCUAAACGCUCCCUGGAAGGAUGGAGAACAUGGAGGGGUAAAUCCCCACAGACUGGCAGCAGGCACAACCACUGAUAUUGAGAAUUCUGCAGGGCCAACAGGCUGAAAUGGAGGAAUAAGUGUGCAUGAUGGCACAGGAAAAUGAGGCAAGGAUUCACCUAUUUUCAAGCUAGCAAGACCUCAGUGAGAAGAUUGAAGCGCAGCAGGAAGAGAGGACACCUGGCACGGUCCUGCCCCUAGAAGCUGCACUCUGAAAGUGCACCAGAUUAUCCUCAUGAGGAGAAAAUAGACUGCAGCUUCAGGAGGCACAAGGGGCCAUGAAAGAAAAACAAAUUGCUAAUUGAUGUGCACAUAGGAGACACCAUUAUCCCAGUGGUGGACAUAAGGAUGCACAAAGACCAUGGUCAGGGCAGACCUCAUCCCAUCCCAGAUGGGCACACCCAAAAAUGCAGUGAGUAUGGUCCACAUACACAGGGCAUCCUAUACUUAUGAAAGAAGAAAGAUUAGGCUCACUGUGUCGGGAUGAACUGAAGAAAUAGCCAUUGGCUUAGCGGAAACUUUACCAUGCCCCAUGCUACGCAUAAUUGAUUGGCCCCACCUGAGAGGCACAGAAUGCUUGGAUGCAGGUGUUGCAGUGGACAUAGUCUUUCUGGACUUUCAGAAGGCCUUUGACACUGUCUCUCACCCAAUUCUCAUUAAAAAAUUAGGCGACUGUGGCAUCAAUGCCUACACAGUCAGAUGGGUCGCAAAUUGGCUGGAGGGCCAUACCCAGAGUGUGGUGGUGGAUGGGUCUUCUUUGACCUGGAGGGAUGUGGGCAGUGGGGUCCCCCAGGGCUCGGUCCUAAGGCCCGCACUGUUCAACAUCUUCAUCAGUGUCUUGGACAAGGGGGUGAAAAGCACCUUGUUCAAAUUCAUGGAUGACACUAAGAUGUGGGGAGAAGUGGGCAUGCUGGAGGAGACGGACUGGCUGCAACUAGAUCUGGACAGGUUACAGGGGUGGGCGGAUGAGAACAGGUUGGGUUUCAAUACGGACAAGUGCGGCGGGGAAGAAGAAUCAGCAGCAUACCUACAGACUGGGGAACUCCCUUCUCUUCAGCACAGAGGCAGAAAAUGAUCUUGGAGUUGUUAUUGAUUCCAAAAUGAACAUGGGCUGCCAAUGUGGAGACACAGUCAGGAAGGCUAACUGCACCUUGUUAUGUAUCCACAGAUGCAUCAUAAGCAGGUCCAAGGAAGUGAUCCUCCCCCUCUAUGCGACACUGGUCAGGCCGCAGUUGGAGUACUGUGUCCAGUUCUGGGUGCCACACUUCAGGAGGGAUGUGGCCAGCAUCAAGAGGGUCCAGAGGAGGGCCACUCACAUGAUCAGGGGGCAGCAGGCCAGGGCCUACAGGCGGAGGCUACGGGACCAGAACCUGUCAGCCUACACAAGAGAAGGCUGAGAGGGGAUCUGGUGGCCAUCUACAAACUGGCCAAGGGGGACCAGCAGGCAAUGGGAGAGUCUCUGUUCCCCCAAGCACUACUGGGAGUAACAAGGAAUAACAGCCAUAAGUCGAGUGAGAGUAGAUUCAGGCUAGAUAUCAGGAGGCACUACUUCACAGUCAGGGUGGCUAGGAUCUGGAACCAACUUCCAAGGGAAGUGGUGAUCGCUCCUACCCUGGGGGUCUUCAAAAGGAGGCUAGAUAUUCACCUAGCCGGAGUUGUUUGACCCCAGCAUUCUUUCCUGCCCAUGGCAGGGGGUCGGACUUGAUGAUCUGCUUAGGUCCCUUCUGACCCUAUCAACUAUGAAACUAUGAAUGGUUGGAGGUACCAAUAAAGCAGCAUGUUAUGCAUGGAGGUCCCAUUCCAAUGAGGUUUUGCUACUUCACAUUGGAAAGCAGCUCUCAUAUUCUUGGACUUCACCCUGCACUGGAUCACUGUCUUGUGCCCCUGCUGGGCAAGUCUGGAGACAUCCAAGUAGAUGUGCAAGUUCAUACUCAGGCUGUUGCCGAUGCUGAACUGGCUUUAUCCCUCAGGCUCCCCCAGCAUCAGCACCAGGCUCUUAGUUUCUUCAUAGGAUGAAGUUGUCCUAGUCUUGCGCACCCUGACUGGCUGUCUUCUCUCCCUGGUCUGCUCUCUUCUCUCAGCCUCAGACAUCUCAUAUCAAUAAGGGGUAUCUGUACCUAGGCCCCUGUGUCCUCAAUUUAUAGGGCUUUUAUUCAGCAGGUCAGGAAAAGUUCACCCCCCACCUUCAUGAUGGUGCAAAAGAUUUGUACAAAAAGACAUGCUGGUGCCAUCCUGGCAACUUUGUUUCUUUUGUCUUUCUUUUUGCAAAAAAGGCAUCUAAAAUCUGUGGACAGUGUAGGUAAAAAAUGAGCCAUGUACUGAUGGGUAUCCUAAGGAGGGUUGUCUACAGGAUCACUUUAUUCUGUGCUGUGAGAAUCAGACAAGCGGAGAAGAAGCAUUCUGGAAAAAACACCAAGGGCUUGCCUGCCUGCCCAGCUGUCCAAGUUGCAAAAAGGGUGCCUAAAAUCUGUGGAUGGUGUAGGUAAAAAAUGAGCCAUGUACUGAUGGAUAUGCCAAGGAGGGCUGCCCACAAGGUCCCUUUUGGGCCAUGGCACAACAGAGGGCUAGCCACAAGUUGCCCAUGUGUCAAGGAACCAGUCCCUGCUCAGUCUCCAUACCUGGUGAAGCAGUAAGUCAAGAACAAAGGAAGGAAGGAAUAAAUAACAGUAUGUUAGCUAUAUGGCAUGUCCACCCAGGGGAAGACAAGGAGGAAAGCCUGUAAACAGAGCAGUUGUACACAUACUGGAUUUAAUCCUUAUUAAAUUAAAUAGGUUUAUAAAAAUUUAAGUAGUUUAUUUUAGAAUGUUUCAUCAUUGUUUGCACGUAAUAGGCACAUACCAAUAUUGAGGCAGCAGGAGAGGCGCAUACCAAUCCACCCUGCUGCUGUCUUUGGUACUGAAUUACAGCAACAGGUGCAUGUGAACCACUAAUAAACUACUAAUCUGCUCCCUCCUCACUCCUGACACACCCCUCCCCACCAAAAUACAAAGCCAGGGACCCUCAUGCUAACCCCUACUGGUAAACUGUGCACUCCUGCACGGUCAUAGGCCCCCACACCACACCCCCAAACCACAUGAACUCCCACCCAUUGUGAACUCACACACACACACACCACACAAACUCCCACCCCUCCCCCACACCCUCCCACACCCUUUUAAAGGGCCACUGAAAGGCUCCCUUCCCCAAGCCAAGGAUCCGCACAGUAACUUUGUGGCCAUCAUAAUCCCAUCCCACCCACCCUCACAACUCCACCCCACCUCACCUCACCCCACCUACCCUCACAACACUGCAGUGGUGUGCAGUGACAAUGGUAAGUCAAGUGGUCGUAAAUGGCAGCCAGGAAGCUGCUGCAGGCCACCAACCAAACCCCAUCCCCCGCCCCUGCUAUGUCCACUGUGGGCAAUCUUAUGAGGUUUGAUGGCCGGCCACAGGCGACUGCGGCUGCCACCGCCCCCCCCACCCAAGCUCCAUCUGCCCAUGCAGGACAACCACUAUGAUGCACAGUUGCACAGCCCUCAGCACCUGGGGUCAUGUCGUAUGCGGUUGCAAGACAACUGUUGUGAGGGUCCCGCUGAGCAGCCACCAGCCCCCCUGGGAGGACAGCCUCUGCUCCACAAUGGCAAUGGGCACAGACCAUGCCACUAUUGCAUGUGCCCCAGGCCAUGCACAAUGCUCUUUAUGCAGGCUGAAGUUCACCCUAGCCACUAUGCCUUGCUGAUGCUGAUCCUGCUGGUGCUUCAUGCACACCUGUACUCGUGGUUCGGGACAAUUAGCUACAAUGGUGCAGGGGGCAAGCCUGGUUUGCCACACAACCUCUGCCAACAACUGGAUGGAUACCUAGCACAGUGGAUGGAUACCGAGCACAGUGCUACAUGACCCUAAGCCCUGAUACUGAGGAUGACAUUGCCACAGGAAUUGAUGCCUUCCUCCUGCACAGUUCUGGGGAAGGGAAAGGGGAUGACAUAUAAAAAGGUAUGUGAACCUUAUCACACCUCUGUGUGUGUGCUGUGCGGCAGUCCUCUGAGGUGGCGUGACCAAGAGGCUUGGGCAGUGCUGUUAUGCCAUUCUACCUACCCUACCUACGCCCACAAAAAUAAAUAUCAAUCUCAUGUUUUAAUAUGAACUAGUUAAUGUCCUUUAUUUCUCGGCCACCACAACUUUGAUGGAAUAAGGUAGGGAAAUAAACACAGUUCUGAGAGAUGAAGAAGAUUUUGUGUCUGCAGUUCAGCAAAAAUAACUCUUUGGCACAGUUAUGUCUCUCUUAGAUAACUAACAUAUUAGAUAUAUUUAGUUCCCUUUCUCUUUGGGAGCUCUCAAUUUCUUGGUUGUUUGCCCCAUUCUCCUCCGCACGAAUCCCAAGCAAAUGGCAAUUCUAUGCCACCUUGUAUUUUCUACUGAUAUCAAAAUCUGGGGUUCUCUUCUCUUUGUUAAUCUUCAUCCAUUCUUGUUGCUUUCUCUUUUUUUAAAUCUCUGGGAUGGUACCCUAUGUCCUCAGGUAUCAGACUUACCAACUCAGAGGUCUCCCUCAUCACCUCACUUCAGCUUCCCAGGUAAGUGUCUCUCCAGGACCCUUCUUCUGUUCCUUUCUCUCUUCCGUCUGUUGUCUCUCUCUCCUGUAGUCUUUCUACAGAUUUCUUCCGGGUUUCUUCUCUUUUCUAAUUCUGGGCUCCGUUCCCCUUUAAAUCCUUUCAGCUGUUUCCUGCCUCUCUCAUCAGUGCUCUCUCCUGGCUCCCUCUACACAUGCUGCUCUUUGUUUUUGUUUUCAUCCAGGUCCCCACUCUCCUCCAUCUGGGUAUCCCCACCCCUUUCUCUCUGGACUCAUUGCUAAGGUAAAUUCUCUGUUUCCCUUCACUCCUCUGGAAUUCUGUAAUAGGGAAGAUGUGGUGCCCUGUUACAUAUUCCAUCCAAGAACUUACUAAAAUAGGAACAUAUAGAAACAAAUAGGAACCCCUCUCCUGUCAAUUGGCUUUCUUUCCUGACCAUGCACCCCCCCCCACUCUUGCUCCCUGAACUGCACUGGUUCUCUCCUGAUUCUGCUGGCAUUGGGGUACCUCUUGGUCAACUACAAUGCAGAUGGGGGAACAGGCUUAGCUGUAAAACUCCUGGCUACCUCCUGGACAGGGACAAGCCAAGCGGAGCUCAUAUGCACUUCCCAGGGGGGCAAGGGGAUGACCCACUUAUAAAUAAGGGGCUUGUUCACGCACUUAAGGACAUGAUCCUUAAUGCACAUGUCUCCUGCAGAUCCACCUGGUACUGCAUGGCCAGCUCAAGAAACUGGUUUGUGCAGUCUGGGAGCUGCUUUCUGAAUUCAAUGGUCCAUGCGUUGCAGCUGAUCAUCCUCUCUAAGCUUCAGCGAAGCCUCCAUCAUGCUCUCUCUGGAGUGUUGCUGCAUGUGCUCCACUCCAGUGUGAGCUGGGGUCUGAGUUUCAGAUGCACAUCCCCAGCUGGCAUUGGACAUGGUAGCUGGUAACAGGAACAGGAAAACAAAGUGUUUGUCAUGAGAUAUCUCUUCUCCAAACAUUCAAAAGGAUGGUUACUGACCUCCAACACUGCAUGCACAAAACCCCCAGCACAUGCAACCCAGUAGCCUGCCAUAGUGCCCAAAACAGUGCUUGCCAUAGUGGCGCAAAUGGCUAUAAUGCCCAUUCCUCAGUACUUACAAAUCCCUGCCCAUGCAUCUCGUUGCAUCUCGGGAACAGAAACCAAAGUUUGGGUCUCAGGAGGAACUUCUGACGUUAACCUCAUCUGAAGUGUUGUCCUCUUCAUCAUCAUAUGCUCACUGGUGGAGCGGUUGGAGAGACUGGGGUCAUGAUCAGGUUCUCCUCCUCUUGGCCAUCCCUGUCAUCCAGCAGCAUCAAGCAAUCACCCCACAUCUCCGACAUGUUUAUUGUUUCCAUCUCAGGACACUCUGUAGCUCCUUCAUUAGGACACUCUAUAGCUACAUAUUAGCACUCUGUAGCUCCAUCCAGGACAACACCAGUCUCAAAUGACAAGACAAGAAGCCUUGCCUGCAUCAUAGAUUUUGUAGAUUUUUAGGGUUGGAAGGGACCUCAGUAGAUCGAGUCUGACCCCUGCCCUGGGCAGGAAAGAGCACUGUGGUCAGACGACCCCAGCUAGGUGCUUUUCUAGUCUCCUUUUAAAGACCUCUAAGGUAGUGGAGAGCACCACCUGACUUGGAAGCCCAUUCCAGAUUUUGGCAACCCUUACCGCAAUGAAAAUUUUCCUAAUGUCUAAUCUAAAUCUGUCUGUUUAUGGCCAUUGUUCCUAGUAACCUCAAGGGGAACCCUGCUAAACAGAGUAUCCCACAUUCCUUGCUGCAACCCCUGAUGAAUUUGUAGAUGGCUACAAGAUCCCCUCUCAGGCUUCUUUUGUGGAGGCUGAAGAGAUUCAGGUCCUUCAAUCUCUCCUCAUAGGAUCUUACCUGUAGGCCCAUAACUAUAUGAGUAGCCCCACUCUGAACCCUCUCAAGGUUAUCCACAUCCCUCUUGAAGUGCGGUGCCCAGAACUGGACACAAUACUCCAGCUGCAGUCUUCCCAAUGCUGCAUAGAGGGGAAGUAUCACCUGCUCAUGACACACCUUCUAAUGCAUAGAUGAUUCAUAGAUUUCAUGGACAUUAGGGCUGGAAGGGACCUCGAAGAUCAUCAAGUCUAGCCCCCUGCCCCAGGAGCAGAAAGUAAGCUAGGGUCAAAGGAUCCCACCAAGAUAAAUAUCUAAACGUUUCUUGAAUGAGUCCAGAGUAGGUACCUGCACCACUUCUGGAGGGAGUCUAUUCCAGGUCUUGGGGGCUCAGACAGUAAAGAAUUUUAUGUCCAGCCUAAAAUGGUCUUGGAGGAGUUUAUGACCAUUGGUUCUUGUUUUUGCUUGGGGCGCUCUGGUGAACAGACGUUCUCCCAGAUACUGAUAUACACCCCUUAUGUACUUAUAAGCAUUCACCAGCUUCCCCCUGAGCCUGUGCUUUUCCAGGCUGGAGAGUCCCAAGGCUCUCAGCCUCUCUUCAUAAGGCCUAUUCUCUUGCCCUCUGAUCAUGCGCUUGGCUCUCCUCUAGACUCUCUCAAGCUUCUUGACAUCCUUCUUGAACUGUGGAGCCCAGAACUGGAUGAAGUACUCCAGCUGCAACCUCACCAAAGUCAAGUACAGCAGGAGGAUGACAUCCUGAGAUUUAUUUGAGAAGCAUCUGUGAUGGGCUAGCUGGUAGUGAUUUGGCCCAGGGGUUUUGAAAGGGUAAAAGAUGAUUGGAGGGCUUGGGAUUCCCCUUCCUAAUCAAUCAGGCCCCAGAGACUCACUCUCCAUGUCCCCAGAUUGGCUCCUUGGGUCACCUGGAGGGGGAUAAAAGGGGCAGCACAGCUGACUCAGGGGAGACCCUGUGUGGGAUGAUGAGGAAGGAGUUUCAAAGAGUUAGCAAGAGCUGGGCCAGUGGGACAGAAGCAGUUGCCCGAGAAGAGCCUAAAGGAGCAGGACCUACAGGCAGCAGUUGAACUCUCAGCAGCACAGCCAGCAGGAGAGGCUCCCUGCUGGGCUCCUGGAUCCCCAUCAAGAGGCUGCAGCCAGCAGGAGAGGUUCCCCACCUGGCUCCAGCAGAAAGCUGUGCAGUGACCCAAGAGGCUUCCAGCUUCUUUAGCAAUAGGCAGGGCAGCUUGAUGUAAGGCAGGGGCUUCCAGAAGGUCAAAAGCCUUAACAGCUUGGAACAGACCUGGCUGUGGGGUAGCGUUUCUGUUUAUCAUGUGGGAGAUCUGAGUUCAAGUCCUGGUUGGGUUAAGUAGGGGUGAGUGAAGUGACAGGGGUGAAGUUCUUGUUGAAGUGGAGGGGGUCAUUGUGUUUUCCCUCUUCCCCACUCCAGGUACCUAUGCCCUACAUCUCUUGUUAUUUGGUAUUUUUCAUUUUGUGCACUUUAUAUUUUGUCAAUCAGUAUUGUUUGUGUUUUGUAUUUUGUUAAACCUGUCUUUUGUUAACUAGAUGAAUAUGUCUACAAAUAUGAAUGCCUAACCUUUAUUGAAUCCCAUCCCCUCAGGGUAUUGCAGUGUCCCCUAUACCCCCUGGUUUAUAUAUGUUAUGUUCCCACCAUAGUUUCUCUCAUUAAAAGGUGUGUGGUUAAAUCCCCA